rnacentral:pre_miRNA from 1 species
UAUAAAACAUUUCGUCCAUUUGUACUAUUAAAACUAGUAUAGAUCAUAGAAUAAUCAAACAACCACCAUGUAUACCUCAUGCUAAUGUACAAGGACCAAUUUUUAACUGUAGAAAUGGAUAAAUUUUUUAACA